rnacentral:lncRNA from 12 species
CGCUUGUUUCAGUUCGAGUAUGUUUCAGGUAGUUUGUCAACCAGGCACCUAGAGACAGGAAUUCUACCGAUGGGAUCGGACAAGUUUUAUUUUGUUUUAAUCAGAAUUCAGGAUAUGCUAUAGGCAGUUAGAUUGGGACAUGAAAAUAUCGAGAGUUUAAAUGGAUGCUCCGUGAAAAAUUAUCCUGGAUUCUUGAGUUCAUGUGUAAGAAUGGAGUCUUUGUUACUUUUUUUAGAGGUUGAUGAAAAAAGUAUGUGUUAUAACUCAACCGAGAAAAGAAGAGCGUGUAUUGGAGACAAGAACUUGCACAGUUAAAUAAGUUGCACAGUUAAAUAACUCAAUCUGUGAAAUAGAAUAUAGCUGCUGACUAGUGACUGAGGUGCAGACUGUCAACUGGAAGGGUUGACCAAAUUAUUCACAAAUGCUGGAAAAUUCAGAAGAAAAAAAGGAGAGAAAGGAAGGAAGAAAUGAAGGACAGAAGGGUGAACAAAGAGAAAAGAAGAAAAUGAACAGACAAAAACUACAAUGGGACCGCUGAGGGAUGAAGUUGAAUCAGUGCAUCUCCACCUUCCACACCUAGAAGAAAGAAUAUAGAAGUAAGUAUUCCCCACCUCCCCAACCCCCGUCAAUCAUCUCCAUCCGUUAGGGCUUACCAUCAACUC